GUCCCGUUGGUCUAGUGGUAUGAUUCUCGCUUAGGGUCUAACUCUGAGUUCAAUUUGCGAGAGGCCCCGCGUUCGAAUCGCGGAUGGGACC